rnacentral:rRNA from 1 species
GACGAACGCUGGCGGCGUGCCUAAUACAUGCAAGUCGAACGAGAGCGACCGGUGCUUGCACUGGUCAAUCUAGUGGCGCACGGGUGAGUAACACGUGGGUAACCUGCCCAUCAGAGGGGGAUACCAUCCGGAAACGGAUGCUAAAACCGCAUAGGUCUUCGAACCGCAUGGUUUGAAGAGGAAAAGAGGCGCAAGCUUCUGCUGAUGGAUGGACCCGCGGUGCAUUAGCUAGUUGGUGAGGUAACGGCUCACCAAGGCCGUGAUGCAUAGCCGACCUGAGAGGGUGAUCGGCCACAUUGGGAGUGAGACACGGCCCAAACGCCUACGGGAGGCAGCAGUAGGGAAUCUUCCGCAAUGGACGCAAGUCUGACGGAGCAACGCCGCGUGAGUGAAGAAGGUUUUCGGAUCGUAAAACUCUGUUGUUAGAGAAGAACAAGUGCUAGAGUAACUGUUAGCGCCUUGACGGUAUCUAACCAGAAAGCCACGGCUAACUACGUG